rnacentral:tRNA from 2 species
GCCCACAUAGCUCAGUCGGUAGAGCGCGUUCUUGGUAAGAACGAGGUCUCCGGUUCAAAUCCGGAUGUGGGCUCCA